rnacentral:rRNA from 1 species
UACGUAGGGGGCUAGCGUUGUCCGGAAUCAUUGGGCGUAAAGCGCGUGUAGGCGGCCCGAUAAGUCCGCUGUGAAAGUCCAGGGCUCAACCCUGGGAUGCCGGUGGAUACUGUCGGGCUCGAGUCCGGAAGAGGCGAGUGGAAUUCCUGGUGUAGCGGUGAAAUGCGCAGAUAUCAGGAGGAACACCAAUGGCGAAGGCAGCUCGCUGGGACGUGACUGACGCUGAGACGCGAAAGCGUGGGGAGCGAACGGG